GUUCAAAUUCCAGCGCUAAAGGCCAUGCUGUCAGUUUGGAACCCCAAGUAUGGAGUGUUCUCCUUCAACGACAUCGAUACGAGCUAUGGAAGAAUAUCAGGCGCUGUUGGAAAUUCCUUACGUGGCACAGAAUCGGAUCUACCUACACCUCGAGCAUAGGCAGACUUGGAAACGGUUCGCGCAUAUGUUGGGAAUCCCCCCAGAGGAAGCGAAGGCAAGAGAAACUAUCAAAG
rnacentral:misc_RNA from 1 species